AGAAAGCCACCUCCCUAACCACUACUUGCUGCUUUCUCUUUUCGAGUUAGCCUACACCCAAAGCCACUGUCAGAUGCCACAGGGAUGAGACUUCACAAGAUCUUUAUUUUGGAAAACUGGAAAAUCCAUAAAAUCAAGAAGAAGAAAAAAGGCCUAUAUUUCUUCCACUCAAAGAGAGAUAUUGGUUCUUCCAAUCCCCAACUCUCACAUACUUCAUAUUUCCUCCUUCCAGUGAAAAAGUACAAAAGCUCUAAUGCAUUUCAACUUGUCCAAAUGGGCCUUCAGUGUGGAAGAUGACCUUAGUCUCUCAAACAGAACCCCGGAAAGGGCUGAGGCUCCAGCUGUGUUCUCCUGUUUUCUGCUUCCUGACCACCCUGGUGUAUUUCCCUGUGGCUCUGCCGUGCCUCUGGUCUCCAGGACCUGUGAAUAUAAUCAGCUUUGUUUUCCCGAUUCUCUCCUCUGUCUCUUCUCGUGACUGUCCCUGACCGACCACAUCAUAAGACAAUACAAGGCAGACCCUGCUACCGUGGUUAUUCUGAAUGUAUCACUAAAUCCCAUGGACUCCACUAACCAGCUGCCAAUGCAGUGAUAUCGUAGGGCACAUCAAGUCCUAAGAAUUACGGUGUUAAGGAAGAAAUAAGAGUGCUGUCAUUGAAGGCUACGGUGUUUCCUCUCCCCAGUAGGCACUGCAGAGAAAACUUGGAGACAGCAGAAGUUUACUGCAUUUACAACUGACAGAUGAAUGUUAAAAUCCCUCUCACAUUUUUCUUUGAGAGUAAAGGAAAGAAGGCCACAUCACUAAAUUGUAUCAUGAAUAAAAGUUCUCUCAGUUACAUUCAUUGCCUUGCCUGCACAGGAACUUGGUUAUUUGCCAGCAACUUAAUGUCUGGAGAAAGCUAUAGGUCAUUUUGCAACCCAGCAUU